rnacentral:tRNA from 1 species
GGUGUAGCUCAAAUGGUAGAGUGCAUGUUUAGCAUGCAUGAGAUGCAUGCAGGAGGUCCUGGGUUCAAUCCCCAGUACC